GCUCGAAUAAAUCCUCCCUUUGUUUCUUGACCUCCCCAUUUGCUCUGAAUUCUGAGGAGAUAAGAACCUAUCCUCCGAAACCAUCUUUGGCGGAAGGGCUCCUGAGCAGGAAAAUUCGAAAUACCUCUAACUCGGAGACCAAGCUGGAGGGGAUCUGAGGCUUCUCUCCCAUUCCCUUGCUUGCCGUCCUGCAAAAAAUGCUGUUUUCUUCUUCACCACGGAGAAUUCAGAAGAUCAUCUUUGCUGCCGGUACAUUGGCUUUGCUUCGCAGCAGGUAAGUGGACUUGAGUUCUGUUUGGUAGCAGUUGCCCCUCCCUGGGUCCCUUGGUUCUUUUCAAGUGGAGGAGGAAGCGUGCAGUGGUUAAAUGCACUUUGGCCUUGGACCAUGGUUCAUGUCAUGGCCGUGCUGUUUACCAGCCGGGUAGUCUUGGUCCUCAGAUUUCGCGUGUGUUAAAUAUGGGUAAAAAAUAUUAUGCCGUUGGAUUUUGAAAAGUGAUACUGCGUGUGAAGUACGGUUCCUGAUACACAAGAAACAGUCCCCUGAGGCCUGCUAAUAUAUAACUAUUCAUAAGAGUGAUAGUAAAGGUGGUAAAAUGUGUGAACGCUGAAGGCAAACAGUCUGGGCCAGAGCUUGGCUUUGGUUCUUUAUGUUACCUUUGAGCAGGUUACCUGAUUUUCUAUGCCUCAGUUGCUGUGUCUGUAAAUGGAGAUAAAAUUAGUACCUACUUUACAGGGUUGCUAUGAAUAGUAAAUAACAUAAUCACGAAAUGCUUUUACAGCAGACGUCUCGUGAUAUUAGCUAUUAGUUGUUAUCAUCCGGUAGAGGAGCGCAUCCUUCCCACCCUCCCGCCGCCGGGUCUAGAAGGGAUCAGCACACUGGUGUUUCUCACUCAGACUGACUUACAGUUGGAUUGGAAACCAAGGAUAGCAGCUUACUUGGGCUGAUUCCAGGUGGCUGUUUGGGUCUCUCCUGCCCAUGAGUAUCUCACUGGGCUCUCCUACCCGCAAUGGCAAACCCCCUAAGCCCCAAUAACUAUGAAUUCCUCACCACUUCUUAAAAAAUUCUGGACGGUCAGGAACAAUUCUUCCUGCUGAGACACCGCACAAAAGACUCCUCCAAGGCAAGCCUUUCCUGUCCACCUGACACAUGCUCACCCAGGACCCCGCUUUGCAAGUUUCCAGGUUGCAUGGCUCUUACACAUCAUUGUCAUGGAUUAAUUAUGCGGCACUUUAAGUCUCUGUUAGUCAUGGGUCAGGUGUGGUCUUUCCAGCUAGAAUGGGAGCUCCAGGGUAGUGAGUGUUCCGUUCAUCCCUAUUACCCAGUGCUUUCCCUCGGCUGCCGCAAAGUACACAUUCAAUAAAUCCGUCAACCUAAAGAAAAUAAUCUGCUCAGUGUAUCAAACUAUCAUGUUCUCAGAUUGUUUCAAGCUCCCCCACAAGCCUGAAAGGUCCUUUAGGGCAAAGAUAGUGGGUGUUUUUUUUUUUUAAAUCUCUGUAACCCCAGGAUUGCCAAGUACCUCGUGGGUGCUUAAUAAUCAGGUAUGGAAUAAAUAAAACGAUGAAUCUGCAAACUGAUUUCGUUUGAACGUAGCUUUUUAUUAGCAUAAAGAUCAAUAAUUCUUGAAUCAGGUAAAUUUCAAAGAUAAAUGGUGUAAUUUAAUCAAGAUUAAAGUAGCAUUUUGUAGGGAGAAUGUUUAGUUGAUAUGAUAGAUCUGCAGUUGCCUAGAAAUUCCAAUCCUUGGUCCUCAGGCAAAUUAUGGCAGUGGAUCACUCACUGAGUUUUUAAAAUUCACAUUCUUAGGUUCCAUCCCAAUUUGUUGAAUCAGAGUCUCUAAAAAAUGAGCAUAGACAGAUGUUUUGUUUUGUUUUUCCAAGUAUCUCCAACUUGCCAGCCCUGUGAUCUUGAGCAAAGUUUUAAUUUCUCAAAGCUCCAGUAUCCUCAUACACAUACAUAAAAUAAAGAUAAUUAUCAAAUUAUCAUACUUCCCUUGUAUUUAUUUAUUUUAAUGGCUGCACCCACAGCAUGUAGAAUUUCCCAGGCCAGGGACUGAAUCUGAGCUGUAGCUGUGGAAACACUGGAUCCUUUAAUCUACUGCACCAGGCAGGGGAUCGAACCCGCACCUCCAAAGCUGCCUGAAUCACGGCAGUUGGAUUCUUAACCCACUGCAUCCCAGCGGAACUCCUCAAGCGUCCCUUUUAGGUUGAGUAAUGUUUAAAUGAAAAAAAAAAAAAAAAAUCCCGUAAGAACUAAACACAGUACCUAAAGUGCCAAAACAUGGAACAAACAUUUUUAUUUUAAUACUAGUGCAAUUUUUAAUCUUGGGAGUAUGUGCCACACCACCACCCAUGAGCCACCACUGCCACACUGGCCAAAUAUCCUAACUGCAGUUUCCUGUCCUUUGUUGUUUUUUUUUUGUUUGUUUGUUUUGCUUUUUAGGGCCAUACCUGCAGCAUAUGGAAGUUCCCAUGCUAGGGGUCAAAUUAGAGCUGUAGCUGCUGGCCUAUACCACAGCCACAGCAAUGCGGGAUCCGAAUCGCUUCUGUGACCCACACCACAGCUCAGGGCAACGCCAGAUCCUUAACGCACUGAGCGAGGCCACGGAUCGAACCCACAUCCUCAUGGAUACUAGUCGGGUUUGUUUCCACUACACCACAAAUGGGAACUCCCUUUCCUUUGUAUUUAAAUAGUUAAAACUGAACCAACCCGCUAGUUCCCACUAAUCAAGUAUAAGAGAGAGGCUAGAUUUUAAGUAUUCCAACCUCCUCCCUUUUAUCAACCUCUGCUAUUGAGGGGCAAAAUUUCUUCAGUUAUUUCUAAGAAUUAAGUUAUGCAAGUCUCAUCCAGGCUUGAAGUUACCUCUGUGGGGGAUGGCAGAGAAAAUGCUCUAGGACAAAACUUCUUAAAUAUAUUUAUCCCCAAAGAUUAAAAAGAUGGCUCAAGAAAACCUGUUCUGUGGGAAACUGUUUUGAAAGAUACGUUGCAUUUAUUCAUUAAUUUCCUUUCUGUUCUCUCUCUAAUGUCCUUAUAGCUCUACCAGGGCUCCAAUGUUCAUUUCCAUUCAAAAGGAGCCAAAUGAGUACAUACUGUGCAAACGGUAGCACAUGUGAACUCUUCGACAUUUCAGAAACCAAUUUCUCUCUUAAUAUUAUGGGGGAGAAAAGGAAAAUAUUUAGGAGGAACAUAAAUGCUUCAGGUAGAAAAAAGCAUCCUUAAGAAAACAGCCCAGGAUCUCCUGUAUUCUACUAAGAGGUGGCAGGAACAUAGAAACAAACUUCUGGAGUUGAGAAAACAUGGAUAGAACAUUUUCUAGGUCAAUACAAAGUCUAUUAUAUACCUUAUCUUCACACUUACUCUCAAAGGUAAUCUUCCCAAUGACGCCAAAAGGGUUGUGCUGUUAUCCCAGUGUUACAGGUGAGGAAAGGCAGACACAUUAAAGCUGAGACUUCACAGAAUGGAGUGAGACUCAAAGCACGACUUGCUCCAUUUCACGGUUCAUCCUCUUUUUAUUAAACUAUUCUGUGUAGUACAGAGGAGCAGCCCACAACUACCCAAGGCCAUUGCUAACUAAAGCAGAAUACUCUAGGGAGUUCCCUGGUGGCCUAGCAAUUAAGGACCUGGCAUUGUCACUGCUGUGGCUGGGAACUUCCACAUGCUGUAGGCAUGGCCAAAAAAACCAAACAAUUCUGUUUAGUUCAUGGAAGACUUUGCCCUGUGGGAGACUCCCCUGGGCUGCACAUGUUGGAAUGACUUUUUUACACAUUUGCAGGACAUGAAUAAAACAAUUUUAGACUUUGGAGCAGAAAGAAAUUGGUCAGGAGGUAGGGGACAAUUUUUUCUCCCUCUGUUCUUCAUGUUUUAAUUUGGAGAUGGGUUUAUUUAUUUUUAACUUAUUAUGAAAAAGAAAAGGAGGCUUCAGGACCACACUAUGAUGGGCUUUCCUAUUUUUGUCAGAUAAGGAGGACUCUCAGCUUUUUCACUCUCCCUUUAUUUAUACCAGCAGAUGAAGACUUUGAACCAAAGCAUUUGAUGUUUUUCUGUUAAUUCCUCAAAAUCUUACCAGACCUCCCCCGUAUAGCCCAAUGCUUCUCUCUUACAAAGACCCGCGUGAGAAGGAGGGUAAUGAAAAGAUGACACGAAACAUGGAUGAAUGAACCCCUUUGCAGAACUGUACCAGUUGAAGUGAUGGCACUAAGCUCAGGUCUUCACGGCUGUUGUCUCUUUUAAUCCUUAAGAUAACUUGUGAUGAUCCUCUUUUAUCAAAAAAAGGGCACUGAAGCCUGGAGGGGACAGUUAGCUUGUCCAGGGCCCAGCAGAUCCUGGGCAGUGUUUCCAGAUCCCUGACCUGUGCGUUUGUGCAGUGUAAGGGCUUUAGAGCCAAAAUACUUGGGUUCGUAUUUUAGCUCUACUACCCACGUGACCUUGGGCAUAUUUCUUAAUCUGGGCAGAGAGAUUCAUCUCCAAAAGUCUUCAUCUCCAAAACAGGGGGCAGUGACGGAGACAGUCAAUCACAGCGCUACUGUGAAGAUUAAAUGAGUGAAUACAUUUAAAGGUCUUAGAUCUGUGAUUUCCGCCUGGUAUGCCAAAGGGCUUAGGGGACCACAAGGCUGAGAUAUUUCAAAUUUUCAAGGGAACCUUCAAGGGAAAUAUCUGACACCUGUCAGUGCGUGAGCUGCUAGCUUAAAGUGGUUCACAGUUUCAACACUAGCUCACACUGCGUUCCUUUUGAUGAUGGUAUAUCUUCACAAACUGGGUUCUCAGUUAACACUGUGGGGAGGCAAUACCACCCCAAAUCCAAUGUGGAGCCGACAUGAAAGUGGCAGUGUCCAGUCGAAUCCCCACAUUUGAGAAGCUGUACAGCACCCAACAGGCACACACAUCCCAUUAUAGCUAAUGACGUUAUUUAAAAAUGAUACAAAAGUAUGUCAUUGUUUUCAAAUGGCUCUUAAGCUGUCAGGACAUAAAUAGGUAUCAAGUUGUUGAGACGACGGCAACAUCAUCAUCAACAUUAACCCAUUUGUCCAUCAUCUACUUAGUAAAUGGAUAUGAUGAAUAUUUCUUUUGGCCCAGAUGUGCCAUGGGAAAAAAAAAAAAAAAAAAAAAAAAAAAAACAGUGUCACUGUGAAUGCCACAAAAUGAGAACGUUUGGAACGUCUGACUUGGAACAAUUCCUGGUAGCUAGUCAGGCUGUAUAUGUGAGCUGUUAUCAUCCACCUCCAUGCUGUACUGAGUCUCAUAUUAAGUUCUACCAAUUCCAUAUGAGUAACAGAGCUGGUGUACGUGUCUGCAAACUGCCUAAAGAGGCUGGAAGAGAGGGACCGGUUUUACAGCUAAAGACGGAAGGCUGAAGCUGGCAUGUGACUUGUCCCAGUCGUUCGGCUCAUCCAUGUGAUGCUGGAACGUCCACAGAGCACUUGUUUCUCUAAACCAGGAUGCUUCU
rnacentral:lncRNA from 1 species